GGAAAGGAGGAGAAUUGCAGCACGCGGGGCAGAGAGAGAGAGAAAGGUUCACUCGCCGGAUUUUUGACCGGCUGUUUGGACGACCAAACGAUCUUCGUUUUGGCCCAAAUUCGGAGGAAGUACUCUAUUCGACUAAAGGAACAAGUCUACGAUGGCUGAUUUCGUUUUUAAUGGCCAAAUUCUCAGAUUUGUGGUAGGGGACCCUAACUCUAAAACUUAAAUUUUUAUGUUUUUCCCUUGAAAAAAAAAUUAUAAAUCUGAUAAUUAUGAGUUAAGUAGGUAAUUGUGAUGUUGGGUGAAUUUUCUGGAAUGGUUUGGGAUUUGUUCUGGAUUUUUUUGUAAUUUCCGGAAUUUUUUGUAAUUGAUAAAUAAUUAUUUUAAGUACUAAAAAUUGUUAGAAAUGUAGGAAAAUUCCUGAAUUAGGGCAAGAUUUCAAAUCCAGUGAUUUAUGAAUUUUUGAAAAUUGAUUGGAAUAUUUGCGGUAAUUUUAUUGCAAAAAAUUAGUUAUUUUCAAAUAUUAGGAAUUAUUAGAAUUAUUGAAAAAUUCUGAAAUUGUGAUAUAAAUUCAAGUAUAUUGAUGUGUGAAUUUUCGAAAAUUCAUUGGUAUAUUUUCAGGAAUUUUAAUAUGAAAAUUUUAUUUUAUUGGGUUAUUGAAAAUGUUGGAAUUGUUGAAAUUAUUAAGGAAUUUUGGAGUUUGUGGCAUUCAUUUGCAUCAUGGUUGUAUGAAGAAAAUAAAAUUGUGAAAAGUGUAUGAAAUGGAAAAAAAUAAAAUAGUGAUGAAAAGUGAAAGCCCGUGUGAGGCGAACUAAGAAGGGAGAGAGAUCCCUAGGGUGAAAGACCCAAAAGUUUACCCCGGGAAGACUCCGAAUGGGGAGUAUAUUUGGGUGCGGACGCGUAUCCUUCGGUGAAAGCCCGAGAACGAUAGAGCAUUGUAUGACUGUGUGUCACACGUUCAUAUGCAUUCAUUUAAUGAUUGGAUGUUGUGGGAUUGAGUAUAAUGUUAUAUGUUAAAUUGUGUGACUUGAUUUAUAUUGGUAAACUAUUGUGUUUGGGUUAUUGAAAUAUAGAAAUUCCCCCAUUAACCCUUUGGGUGUUAGGCACCCUACUGAGCAAUGUGGAAAUGCUCACCCCUUCAUUUUUUAUAUCUUUUUAGAUGCAGAUAUCACUCUUGAGAAUCCACAGAUGGGACAGGGAGGACUUCAGGAUGCCCCUAGAGCGGUUUAGUGGAAAGGUUUUAUUUUUUUUUAUUGUGUUUGCGGCAUUGAGACCUUGUAAUAAGUGAAUUAUGGAUGAUGUAAUAAGACCUUAGUUUGAUUAAGAGGAUUUUUAUGAAACUUUAUUUUGGGAUGCAAUGAUGUUUAUUAAAUCUUGAUGUGUUUGUGUAAGGUUUUAAAAUAUUGUUAGUUGGUGAGAACCCUAGUGGGACUUAUAUGUGAAAAAAAAAAAAUUCAGAGUGUUUUAGUUGACUGCCAACGUGGAAUAGGAGAAACCCUUAGGGUCAAACCUUUGACCUAGGGUCAUGGGCCAAAUUUUGGGUCGCCCAGAAUUUGGGUCGUGACAGCGUGGUAUCAGAGCCAAGGUUGCAAUAAUACCUUGGGAUCAAUGUGUGUUGUGAUGUUAUGAUUUUUGUAUGUGUUAAUUAUCAAGUUGAUGAUUAAUUGAAUUAUGUAUUGAGAGCGUAUGAAAGUGAAAGUUUUGAUAAUUGUUGAAGUUGCUAAGUGUGUAUAUGGGAAAUUUAUUUUUGCUCACCUUGGUAAUGUGGUUGGAUUAGGGUUUGUUAAACUUGAAAUGGCGAGAAGGACCAGAAGAGGAAGGUUUGAGAGGAAUGAGGAGUUGGAGACGGUAAGAGAAGAACUCCGAGAAGUAAGGAGAGAGUUGAGAGAAACUGUUGAAUUGAUGAGAAGCCAGGGUUCCAGGAGAUUAAGAGGUACCUAGGGCCAUGAGGAUUCAGGCCAUUCACAUAGGAGGAGCCGCACUGAGAGGCCAGUAAUGAGCCAAAUGGAAGCAAUGAAGAGGUUCAUGGUGAUGCAGCCUCCAUCUUUUAAUGGAGAGCCUAGUGCUGAAGCAGUUGAGCAUUGGUUGAGGAGGAUGAGAAGAAUUCUGGUGGGACUGGACAUACCUGAGGAAAGAAGGGUAGGUCUGGCAACAUAUAUGCUUGUUGAUAAAGCUGAUUUCUGGUGGGAAUCAAUGAAAAGGGUGUAUGACACUGAGGUUAUGACCUGGGAGGAAUUUGAGAGAAUCUUCCUAGGCAAGUAUUUUGGGGAGGUGGCUAAGCAUGCCAAGAGGAUGGAGUUUGAGCACCUCAUCCAAGGAACCAUGUCGGUGCUGGAGUAUGAGUCACGUUUCUCAGAGUUGUCUUGUUUUGCUUUGGGGAUGAUCAGUGAGGAAGGAGAAAAGGCUAGGAGGUUCCAGCAAGGGUUGAGGCCUGCUAUUAGGAACAGAUUAGUCCUACUAGCUAUAAGGGAUUAUUUUGAGUUGGUUAAGAGGGCUUUGUUGGUGGAGCAGGAUAUUGAGGAGACCAACCAAAUUCGAGAGCAAAGGGGGGAUAGAAAAGGGAAACAAAGAAUGGGGGAAAGUUCCCAGGGGAGAUCUCAGGGUCCGCAGCAGAGGCAGAGGACUCAACAGUCUGAGAGGCAUUCCUCAUUCUAUACAGGAGGUGAGCAGAGUGCUCAGAGGGUGGCUGCUAAUAGAGUAUGUUAUGGUUGUGGAGCGGGAGACCACUUAUGGAGGGCUUGCCCAUUGCGGGGUGUACAGCAGGCUCGACCUCAGUCUCAGGGAAGUUCUCAGCAACAACCGGUAGUGUAUUUCCAGCCUCCUCAGUUUCAAUUGCCUUACUUCCAGAUGCCACAAGUACCCCCAGCAGCGCAGGGAACCAGGACAACUACUAUGAGAAGUCAGACCCGUUCUUCUCAAGGGUCGAAUGCUAGAGGUAGGGGAAGGCAGGCAACAGGAAGAGUUUUUGCCUUGACCCCAACAAAGCCAGAGGAGGACGUCUUUUUGGUGGAAGGUAUGAUUUUGGUAUAUAGUACUUGGGUGUGUGUUUUGUUUGAUACUGGUGCAACUCAUUCUUUCAUAUCUGCAUCUUGUGCUAAUGCAUUGGGGUUGAAAACAGAAAGGGUAGAAAAUUUGUUACUUAUUGAGUCCCUUAUGGGUACGAAUUUUAGAGUUGAUAGAAUAUGCAGGGGGUGUGUUAUUACCUUGGUAGAUAGAACACUAAAUGUGGACUUGAGGAUUUUGGAUAUGACUGGGUAUGAUGUUAUCUUGGGAAUGGAUUGGUUAACAGUGUAUAGAGCUGUUAUUGAUUGUCAUCGCCGUAGGAUAAUAUUUUGUCUGCCAGAGGGAUUUGAGGUUUGCUUUGUUGGAGGGAAGUGUGUUAGUUUGCCUUUUUCACAGUCCGAUCCGUGCUAUCAGUAUGUGUUGAGGAAGGGAUCAAUAAAUUUCCUAGCUUGCCUUCGUGGUAAGGAGAAAGCCCAGAAGGACAUUACAGAAAUUCCAGUAGUGAGGAAGUUUCAGGAUGUAUUCCCAGAUGAGUUACCAGGUUUACCACCGCAUAGAGAGUUUGAUUUCUCUAUUGAAGUAUACCCAGGAACUGAUCCUAUUUCAGUAUCCCCUUAUAGGAUGACCCCUCUUGAGUUGAAAGAAUUGAAAACUCAGUUAGAUGAAUUGUUGGGUAAGGGUUUUAUUCGUCCAAGUACAUCGCCAUGGGGAGCCCCAGUGUUGUUUGUGAAGAAGAAGGAUGGCACACUAAGGUUAUGUAUUGACUAUAGGAAGUUGAAUAGAGUUACUGUGAAGAACAAGUAUCCUCUUCCAAGGAUAGAUGACUUGUUUGAUCAGUUGAAGGGUGCAAAGUAUUUUAGAAAGAUUGACUUGAGAACUGGGUAUCAUCAAUUGAGGGUUAGGGAAGAAGAUGUUUCUAAAACCGCUUUUAGAACGAGAUAUGGGCAUUAUGAGUUCUUAGUCAUGCCUUUUGGGUUAACUAAUGCCCCUGCUGCUUUCAUGGAUUUAAUGAACAGAGUAUUUCGUGCUUACUUGGAUCAGUUUGUGAUUGUCUUUGUGGAUGACAUCUUGAUCUACUCCAGGAGUUUGGAGGAGCAUAAGCAGCAUUUGGUGACCACCCUUAAAACUUUGAGAAGGCAUCAGUUGUAUGGGAAGUUGGACAAAAGUGAGUUUUGGCUUACUGAAGUGAAUUUCUUAGGCCAUGUGGUUUCUGAGGCAGGAAUAGCAGUAGACCAUUCCAAGGUGGAAGCUGUACAGGAGUGGCAAAGACCUACUAAUGUAUUUGAGGUUAGAAGUUUCUUGGGGUUGGCUGGAUAUUAUAGGAGGUUUGUGGAAGACUUCUCUAGAAUUGCAGUACCAAUGACUUGGUUGACUAGAAAAGGGGUGAAGUUUGAAUGGAAUGAGGAGUGUGAGAAUGCUUUCCAAGAGUUGAAGCGGAAAUUGACCACUGCUCCAGUGUUAACUACUCCUAUUAGUGGAGAGUUGUUUACAAUUUAUUGUGAUGCUUCCACAGUGGGGCUAGGGUGUGUGCUAAUGCAGCAAAGCAAGGUGGUAGCUUAUGCCUCAAGACAGUUAAAGCAGCAUGAGCGGAAUUAUCCAACACAUGAUUUGGAGCUUGCAGUAGUGGUGUUUGCCCUUAAGACUUGGAGACACUAUUUGUAUGGAGAGAAGUUUGAGGUAUACUCUGAUCACAAGAGUUUGAAAUAUAUUUUCACUCAAAAGGAUCCGAACUCUAGGCAAAGGAGAUGGAUGGAGACAUUGGAAGAUUAUGAUUUUGCUCUUCAUUAUCAUCCAGGAAAGGCGAAUGUUGUAGCAGAUGCCUUGAGUAGGAAGAGUGUUGGCCAAUUGUCUAGCUUGGAGUUGAGAGAGUUUGAGAUGCAUGCAGUUAUUGAGGAUUUUGAAUUAUGUCUUGGUUUGGAAGGGCAUGGUCCAUGCUUGUACAGUAUAUCAGCUAGACCAAUGGUUAUCCAGAGAAUAGUGGAGGCCCAAGUUCAUGAUGAGUUUUUAGAAAAGGUUAAAGCCCAGUUGGUAGCAGGUGAAAUAGAUGAAAAUUGGUCUAUGUAUGAAGAUGGGAGUGUGAGGUUCAAAGGGAGAUUGUGUGUGCCAAAAGAUGUGGAGUUGAGAAAUGAACUUCUAGCAGAUGCUCAUAGGGCGAAGUAUACCAUCCACCCUGGGAAUACCAAGAUGUAUCAAGACUUAAAGAGAUAGUUUUGGUGGAGUGGGAUGAAAAGAGAAAUUGCUCAGUUUGUAGCUAAUUGUCAGAUUUGUCAGCAAGUGAAGGCUGAACACCAGAGGCCUGCAAGGUUGUUGCAACCUUUACCUAUACCUGAGUGGAAGUGGGAUAAUAUCACUAUGGACUUUGUGAUAGGGUUGCCAAGAACUAGAAGCAAGAAAAAUGGAGUUUAGGUGAUUGUGGAUCGUCUUACUAAGUCAGCUCAUUUUCUAGCCAUGAAAACUACUGAUUCCAUGAACUCUUUGGCUAAGUUGUAUAUACAGAAGAUUGUGAGAUUGCAUGGGAUACCUGUAUCUAUAGUGUUUGACAGGGACCCUAAGUUUACUUCUCAGUUUUGGCAGAGUUUACAAAGGGCUUUGGGCACCCAACUGAAUUUUAGUACCGUUUUUCACCCUCAGACAGAUGGUCAAUCAGAGAGAGUGAUCCAGAUCUUAGAAGACAUGUUAAGGGCUUGUGUUUUGGAUUUUGGAGGAAAUUGGGCAGAUUACUUACCUUUGGCAGAGUUUGCUUAUAACAACAGUUACCAAUCUAGUAUUGGCAUGGCACCUUAUGAAGCACUCUAUGGGAGACCUUGUAGAUCGCCCUUAUGUUGGAUAGAAAUGGGUGAGAGUCGUUUGUUGGGACCUGAGAUUGUCCAAGAGACUACAGAGAAGAUACAACUCAUCAAGGAAAAACUUAAGACUACCCAAGAUAGACAGAAAAGUUAUGCAGACAAAAGGAGAAGACCCUUGGAGUUUAAGGAAGGGGAUUGGGUGUUUGUAAAAGUGUCCCCUUGAAGAGGCAUAUUUCGAUUUGGGAAGAAGGGGAAGUUAGCCCCUAGGUUUGUGGGACCAUUUCAGAUUGAUAAGAGAGUUGGCCCAGUGGCAUACAAGUUAAUUUUGCCUCAACAGUUGUCCCUUGUGCAUGAUGUUUUCCAUGUGUCGAUGCUAAGGAAGGGUACUCCAGAUCCAACUUGGGUAGCGGACUUGCAAGAUGUUCAGAUUAGUGAAGAUACUUCUUAUGUGGAGGAACCUUUACGAAUUCUGGAAGUUGGAGAGCAUAGGUUCAGAAACAAGGUGAUUCCUGUAGUCAAAGUGUGGUGGCAACACCAUGGGAUAGAAGAAGCCACUUGGGAACCUGAGGAAGAAAUGAGAUGACACUAUCCGCAACUCUUCUGCGAAUUUUAAGGUAAGCUAGUUUAAAUUUCGGGACGAAAUUUCUUUUAGGGGGGUAGGAUGUAAUGACCGGGUAUUUUAUGCCACGUUGGUAAUUUUAGUUUGAAAAGUCUUAUUUUGUGUGCUGGUUGAAAAGUCAAAAAGAAAAGUGUUUGGAGAACACGUAUCAAUUUCAGAUUGGUGAAUUUCGUUUUAUUGUGUCGGUCAAUUAAACGAGUUGAAAUUUUAUGUCAUGUCAGCCUUAGGGUAGAAAAUUUCUUAGGAUUUUAGAAAUUGAAAUUUUCCGGGAAAAAAAAAAGAAUUAAUAAAAAAAAUAGAAUUAAUUAAGAAAAAUUAAAUUAAGUUAAUGAAUAAUAAUAUUGAGAAAUUUAGUUUUUAAUUGGUGUUAAUAAAUAAAUUUGCGUGUUAAAAAAAAAAAUUGGAAAUCAAAUAAAACAAUUAGAAUAAACAAAACAAAAGAAAAUAAAAGAAAUAAAAUAAAAAUAUUCAUUGGUCUUUGAAUAUUGGCCGUUUGAAAUGGGUUGUAAAAGAAAAAUAAUAAUAAUAAUAAUGGAUUGGGCUUAGAUAUUGAGUUGGGCUUGGCUUAAGUGGUUGGUGGCUUUUAAAAGCCAUGUGAAGUGGGCUGGUGGUUUUUAAAAGCAAGUGGGCUGGUGGCUUUUUAAAAGCCAUGUGAAGUGGGCUGUUAAAAAAAAAAAAAAAAAGGGAAAAGGAGGAGAAUUGCAGAACGCGGGGCAGAGAGAGAGAGAAAGGCUAAAUUGGGUCACUCGCCGGAUUUUUGACCGGCUGUUUGGACGACCAAACGAUCUCCGUUUCGGCCCAAAUUCGGAGGAAGUACUCUAUUCGACUAGAGGAACAAGUCUACGGUGGCUGAUUUCGUUUUUAAUGGACAAAUUCUCAUAUUUGUGGUAGGGGACCCUAACUCUAAAAAUUAAAUUUUUAUGUUUUUCCCUUGAAAAAAAAAAUUAUAAAUCUGAUAAUUAUGAGUUAAGUAGGUAAUUGUAAUGUUGGGUGAAUUUUCUGGAAUGCUUUGGGAUUUGUUCUGGAUUUUUUUGUAAUUUCUGGAAUUCUUUGUAAUUGAUAAAUAAUUAUUUUAAGUAUUAAAAAUUGUUAGAAAUGUAGGAAAAUUCCGGAAUUAGGACAAGAUUUCAAAUCCAGUGAUUUAUGAAUUUUUGAAAAUUGAUUGGAAUAUUUGCGGUAAUUUUAUUGUGAAAAAUUAGUUAUUUUCAAAUAUUAGGAAUUAUUAGAAUUAUUGAAAAAUUCUGAAAUUGUGAUAUAAAUUCAAGUAUAUUGAUGUGUGAAUUUUCGAAAAUUCAUUGGUAUAUUUUCAGGAAUUUUAAUGUGAAAAUUUUAUUUUAUUGGGUUAUUGAAAAUGUUGGAAUUGUUGAAAUUAUUAAGGAAUUUUGGAGUUUGUGGCAUUCAUUUGCAUCAUGGUUGUAUGAAGAAAAAAAAAAUUGUGAAAAGUGUAUGAAAUGGAAAAAAAUAAAAUAGUUAUGAAAAGUGAAAGCCCGUGUGAGGCGAACUAAGAAGGGAGAGAGAUCCCUAGGGUGAAAGACCCAAAAGUUUACCCCGGGAAGACUCCGAAUGGGGAGUAUAUUUGGGUGCGGACGCGUAUCCUUCGGUGAAAGCCCGAGAACGAUAGAGCAUUGUAUGACUGUGUGUCACACGUUCAUAUGCAUUCAUUUAAUGAUUGGAUGUUGUGGGAUUGAGUAUAAUGUUAUAUGUUAAAUUGUGUGACUUGAUUUAUAUUGGUAAACUAUUGUGUUUGGGUUAUUGAAAUAUAGAAAUUCCCCCAUUAACCCUUUGGGUGUUAGGCACCUUACUGAGCAAUGUGGAAAUGCUCACCCCUUCAUUUUUAUAUCUUUUUAGAUGCAUAUAUCACUCUUGAGGAUCCACAGAUGGGACAGGGAGGACUUCAGGAUGCCCCUAGAGCGGUUUAGUGGAAAGGUUUUAUUUUUUUUUUUAUUGUGUUUGUGGCAUUGAGACCUUGUAAUAAGUGAAUUAUGGAUGAUGUAAUAAGACCUUAGUUUGAUUAAGAGGAUUUUUAUGAAACUUUAUUUUGGGAUGCAAUGAUGUUUAUUAAA
rnacentral:lncRNA from 1 species